GUGUCAGCAGCCGCGGUAAUACCAGCUCUCCGAGUGGUGGGGAUGAUUAUUGGGCCUAAAGCAUCCGUAGCCGGCUGGACAAGUCCCCUGUUAAAUCCAACGAUCCAAUCGUUGGUCUGCGGGGGAUACUGUCCGGCUUGGGGGCGGGAGAGGCCGCCGGUAUUUCCGGGGUAGGGGUGAAAUCCUAUAAUCCCGGGAGGACCACCAGUGGCGAAGGCUGUCGGCUAGAACGCGCCCGACGGUGAGGGAGGAAAGCUGGGGGAGCGAACCGGAUUAGAUACCCGGGUAGUCCCAGCUGUAAACGAUGCAGGCUAGGUGUUAGGGCGGCUACGUGCCGCUCUAGUGCCGCAGGGAAGCCGUUAAGCCUGCCGCCUGGGGAGUACGGUCGCAAGGCUGAAACUCAAAUGAAUUGGCGGGG
rnacentral:rRNA from 1 species